AACGAACGCUGGCGGCAUGCCUAACACAUGCAAGUCGAACGAGACCUUCGGGUCUAGUGGCGCACGGGUGCGUAACGCGUGGGAAUCUGCCCCUGGGUUCGGAAUAACUCAGAGAAAUUUGAGCUAAUACCGGAUGAUGACGUAAGUCCAAAGAUUUAUCGCCCAAGGAUGAGCCCGCGUAGGAUUAGCUAGUUGGUGAGGUAAAGGCUCACCAAGGCGACGAUCCUUAGCUGGUCUGAGAGGAUGAUCAGCCACACUGGGACUGAGACACGGCCCAGACUCCUACGGGAGGCAGCAGUGGGGAAUAUUGGACAAUGGGCGAAAGCCUGAUCCAGCAAUGCCGCGUGAGUGAUGAAGGCCUUAGGGUUGUAAAGCUCUUUUACCCGGGAUGAUAAUGACAGUACCGGGAGAAUAAGCUCCGGCUAACUCCGUGCCAGCCGCCGCCGUAACAC
rnacentral:rRNA from 1 species